UGCGGAAGGAUCAUUACCAAGAACCACACAGAAAAGGGAGGCAAAGGGGCCUACAGGGCUAGUAGCUUAUACGUUGUUGAACGUCCUGCCUGGACCCGGAGCCGCCCCCAUCUAAACCCUCUGCGUACCUGUCCCUUCUUGCUUCCCCCGGCAUCUCGUCGGGGGGAGGUAACAACCAAAACUCUCUGUGAAUCAAACAGCCGUCAGAACUAUAAAACAAACAAAAGUUAAAACUUUCAACAACGGAUCUCUUGGUUCCCACAUCGAUGAAGAACGCAGCGAAAUGCGAUAAGUAAUGUGAAUUGCAGAAUUCAGUGAAUCAUCGAAUCUUUGAACGCACAUUGCGCCCCCUGGUAUUCCGGGGGGCAUGCCUGUUCGAGCGUCAUAAAAACCUCCUCCCCCUUCGGGUUUUGUUACUAUCGUUGGGGGGUUUUGGCCUAAUGGGAUAGCGAUUGGCAAUUCGUUUCCCAAUGUCCUAAAUAGACGUAGACCCGCCUCCAGAUGCGACAGCACCGAGGCCAUCAACCGUGGAGUUAUGGGAUAUAAUAGGCUUGCAGUAAAAUGCUCACCUCUCUCCACACGCCGAUGGCACGACAGUUGCAGUUGCGGGCGUAAAUUGGAGCCCUUUUCAGGACCCUUGUGGCCUAGCAUCCACCAUACAUAAUUUGACCUCGGAUCAGGUAGGGAUACCCGCUGAACUUAAGCAUAUC
rnacentral:rRNA from 1 species